UACGGGGGGAGCAAGCGUUGUUCGGAUUUACUGGGCGUAAAGGGCGCGUAGGCGGCCACCGCAAGUCGGUUGUGAAAUCUCUGGGCUUAACCCAGAAAGGUCAACCGAUACUGCGGGGCUAGAGUGCAGAAGGGGCAACUGGAAUUCUCGGUGUAGCGGUGAAAUGCGUAGAUAUCGAGAGGAACACCUGCGGCGAAGGCGGGUUGCUGGGCUGACACUGACGCUGAAGCGCGAAAGCUAGGGGAGCGAAUGGG
rnacentral:rRNA from 1 species